rnacentral:tRNA from 1 species
AGUAAGAAUAGCUCAGUAUGGAAGAGCGGUGAGAUAAUAUCAAAAGCUAGUAUCGAGGGUUCGAAUCCCUCUCUUACUAC